CAAAAUGCAAUGGCACUGUUUGAAGAUUUCGUCGAUAGUAUGAAGAAAGAGUUGGGAAGACGGCUUCGAAAAAUCCAUGCUCUCGUCGUAAUUUAAAUAAAGGAUGGAUCCAAAAUUUCUUUGGUGUAUAUUUUUUUUUAGAUCUCUGGAUAACUAUUUCAUUGCAUAAUAAAGCACAUAUGAUCCUUUUA